AGGCAGAGAGACAGAGACACAGAGAGAGGAACAGAACAAGAGAGGGAGAGAAAGGGGGAAAUGCAAGGCGAGCAGGGCCCUUGUAGUAGAGAUCACAGUGAAUGUGCACAGGUGGUGCUCUCAGUGGCUGCAGCUGAGGGCGUAUCCCGUCAGAACCCCGAAGGCAGGCCGGUACAGACGCCUGAAAGCUAACACGAGGGACGUUGGGGAAGAGGGAACCUCAACUGAGAAUAUUACUCACUCACCCUGAUUGGAGGGGGAGGACCCAGCUCCCUGUGGGAGGUGCCACUCCUGGGCAGGUGGUCCUGAGUAAUAUUUGAAAGAGAGCUGAGGACGCCACGUGGGGAGCGAGCCAGUAGACAGUGUUCCCUUCACGGCCUUUGCUUUGGGCACUGUCUUCAGAGUGCCGCUAGAGUUUCUGCACUGACUCGUCACUCAGCGUGGUGAGAAAUGUAAGAAAAUGAACCCUCCCCGCAAGUUGCUUUCGGACGACGCAGCGUUUCACCACGGCCACAGAGAGCAAACUGGGGCAAUGAUCUUCUCAGUCACUUGUCACCAGGGUCAGAGGAUGGAGGGGCGUCUGAACCCGGUGAGACUGUAUCCUCCAUGUGCGCCAGAUGCCAAGCUGCGUGCAGUUCUUCAGCAAGGAUUUGGAAGGCAGAUGUGGGAAUCAGGUAGUGGCAUUUCAUGCCCUCUAUCCUACCCCUAAGUGCAUCUGUGGGAACAGGCUCUCCUCACUAGACUGUGGGCUUCUGUUCCCACCGGUUCCUUGCUGCAAUGGAAAUGCUGAGAUCUUAGGAACCACAGAUCACAGAGCCUAGGUCCCUGGGCUCAUGCAUAUCUACCAGGACAGCUGCCUGCCUGCCUGCCUGGAACACCGAUACAGAGAUGUUCACGCCGCCGGUCACCCCAGUUCGGUCAAUCUGGAAGCCAUACAGAUCUCAAAUACACUGUAUGAAACACCACUGUACCAUCGUCUUUGUCCUCAUUUUCCUUGGAACUAGAGGAGAACCUCAUCCUGAGCCCAUGACUUCUUCAGAGAAGCAGUGACUAUUUGAAAAGGGAGCAGUUACUUUCUAUAAGGAGGGGCUUAAAGCGUUGGCAUUCUACCGUAAGAUCAAGAGUCCUUUGACAGGGCAUGGCACCCCAGCAACUCCCUGCUCUGUAGAAUGGUCGCCCUUAAUACAGGAGGACAGCUUGGCACAGCCUUACUGCUGUCUCCUGCCUGGUGCACUGGAAAUGGCUUCCUGACAAGGAAGAUGUCUGUUUCUGAGGCUCAGCCUUGUCCGCUUCCCAGAGUCUCCACCCCUUCUUUAUUCAAAGAAACACACACUUUAUAAAAGGAAAGGGUUGUAAUAUCUCUCGUUCAGGCAAGUGUCUUUUACUGUAACCGGUACCUACCAAUUGAAUUGGUUUAUGUUUUUUAAAAAAUUCUGCGUAAGAUAGUGUAUGUGAUUAGUAGUUUUCUCCUCCUUGUGAUCAAAUACUUGGCAAACCAUGUGGGGAGGUGGGUUUGCCACGGGGGAUGCAGUCGUGUAUAGCGGGGAAGGCUUCCUCCCAGCUGUGGUCCAGAGGACAGGCGGAUUGGUGUCUUCCUAUAACAGGUCUGUGCUUCAUUCUGGGAAGGGCAGGCUGCUCACUCACAAUAGGCUUUCUUGUUGGUACCAUUCUUCCUAUCAUAUCAUACGUUUGGUUUUUGUUGUGGGUGAGAGCCAACAGAGACCACAGAGACUGAGGAAUCCAUCACCUUUGUAGCCCUUUCUAGUUUGCAAGCCAUCACUCUGUUGUUUCUCCUGCUUGAUCCUCGUUCUAAUGGCUCUGAUCGAACGCUCUGACCAAAAGUCACUUGAGUGUUUCCAUUCCUUUGCCAAUGAUGUGAUGAAACACUAUGACCAAAGACAGUUGUUUGGCUUGAAUUAUGGUUUCAGAGAACUAGAAUUCAUGAUGGUGGAGCGAAGGUACAUCUGAGAGCUCACAUCUUGUCCAUGACUACAAGGCAAGGAGAGCUAGCCAGCAAUCCCGUUAAAUCUUUAACAUUUCCAAUCCUGCCCCCAGUGACACACCUCCCCCAACAAGGCCCACCUGCUAAUUCUUCCCAAACAGUUCCACUAUCUGGGGACCAAGGACUCAAACGUAUCAUUGCAUGAAGGGCUAUUCUCAUUCCAACCCCUGUAAGGAAUGAAGGGUUUGUUUGGUCUACAUUUCCAGCUCACAAAGUCAGGGCAGAAGAUGAAGCAGAAACCAUGGAGGAGGAAGGCUGCUUCCUGGCUUGUCGUCUGCUGACCCUGCUGUCUUAUAGACCCCAGGUCCACUUGCCUAGAGAAGACACCUCCCACUGUCCACUGAGCCCUCCUGCAUCAACCAUCAAUUAAGACAGCCUCUCACAGACAUGGCCACCGGCCCAUCUGAUCUUGGCAAUUCCUCAGUUGGUUUUCUCAGAUGACUCUGGGCUGUGUCAAGUUGAAAGCUGAAGUAAACCAGGGCAACCUCUCAAAUAACACGGAAAUGAGGAGAGUGUAUUUUUUCCUAAUCUCAUAGGCAGAAACCAAAGUUCAGAGGUAGAAUAGCCCGGAAACCUCACGCUAGACAGUGUGCCCUGGACUCUCCGGCACCCUGGACUCUCUGGAGAGGUGAAAAGAGGCAGGAUGCUGAAAUUGUUUUCAGAAACGGUUCUAGCCAUGUGGGAGAUGGAUAUUGCACAGAUAAGAAUGAAGCAUGUUGGGACAUUGCUGUCUGAUGGAGACCAAUGGCUAUCUGGCUUUCAUUAAAUUAUAUUCUCACUGGCA